rnacentral:tRNA from 1 species
UGACUUCGAAUCAGAAGUUUGAGGGUUCGAGUCCCUCUGUGGUGU